rnacentral:rRNA from 1 species
GAUGAACGCUGGCGGCGUGCCUAAUACAUGCAAGUCGAGCGAACAGACGAGGAGCUUGCUCCUUUGACGUUAGCGGCGGACGGGUGAGUAACACGUAGGUAACCUACCUAUAAGACUGGGAUAACUUCGGGAAACCGGAGCUAAUACCGGAUAAUAUUUCGAACCGCAUGGUUCGAUAGUGAAAGAUGGCUUUGCUAUCACUUAUAGAUGGACCUGCGCCGUAUUAGCUAGUUGGUAAGGUAACGGCUUACCAAGGCAACGAUACGUAGCCGACCUGAGAGGGUGAUCGGCCACACUGGAACUGAGACACGGUCCAGACUCCUACGGGAGGCAGCAGUAGGGAAUCUUCCGCAAUGGGCGAAGGCCUGACGGAGCAACGCCGCGUGAGUGAUGAAGGUCUUCGGAUCGUAAAACUCUGUUAUUAGGGAAGAACAAACGUGUAAGUAACUGUGCACGUCCUGACGGUACCUAAUCAGAAAGCCACGGCUAACUACGUG